rnacentral:tRNA from 1 species
GCCAGUGUAGCUCAGGGGUAGAGCAACUGAUUCGUAAUCAGUAGGUCGUCGGUUCAAUUCCGACCUCUGGCU